rnacentral:rRNA from 1 species
CCUACGGGAGGCAGCAGUGAGGAAUAUUGGUCAAUGGACGGAAGUCUGAACCAGCCAUGCCGCGUGCAGGAAGACGGCUCUAUGAGUUGUAAACUGCUUUUGUACAAGGGUAAACCUGAAUACGUGUAUUCAGCUGAAAGUACUGUACGAAUAAGGAUCGGCUAACUCCGUGCCAGCAGCCGCAGUAAUACGGAGGAUCCAAGCGUUAUCCGGAUUUAUUGGGUUUAAAGGGUGCGUAGGCGGAUUGAUAAGUUAGAGGUGAAAUGUCCGAGCUUAACUCGGGAACUGCCUCUAAUACUGUUGGUCUAGAGAGUGGAUGCGGUAGGCGGAAUGUAUGGUGUAGCGGUGAAAUGCUUAGAGAUCAUACAGAACACCGAUUGCGAAGGCAGCUUACCAAUCUAUAUCUGACGUUGAGGCACGAAAGCGUGGGGAGCAAACAGGAUUAGAUACCCGAGUAGUC